GUGGGAAAGCAUGUGCUCUGUUGCAUGGCAACUAUAGAAUAACAGUUCAGAGAGGAAACCCGAAAAUUAUCAGAUCUAUGGGGCAGAAGAACUCUACAGGGAUUUGCAACUUGAAGACAGGAACAGGCCAACUGUGCAAAUUCCCUUUCUCUGAUAUAUGAAGACAUCUGCUGUAAGCAUAAACUUGAGAUGACAUAUAGAUGAAAGGGAGCAAGAUAUCUGUGUGAGUCUCCAGCGCUGGCUGUUUCCUUCUAAUCGAUAUUGUCCAAGGGAAAAUGUAGGUGAAAUGAUACAAUCCUUAUUGAACUGAGCAGCUUAUCCAAGAG